GAUUAAGCUAAUAAGAGCGUAGGGUGGAUGCCUUGGCACUAGGCGCCGAUGAAGGACGUGACAAGCUGCGAUAAGCUGCGGGGAAGUGCAAAUGACUUUUGAUCCGCAGAUUUCCGAAUGAGGGAACUCAACGGUUUUAAUCGACCGUUAUCCGUAAAUGAAUCCAUAGUUUACGGAAGGGAACCCGGGGAACUGAAACAUCUUAGUACCCGGAGGAAGAGAAAGAAAACAAUCGAUUUCCUGAGUAGUGGUGAGCGAAAGGGAAAGAGCCCAAACCUAGCAUAGUGAUAUGCGAAGGGGUAAUGGACCCCAUACCGUAUUCCGAUACAUAGUCGAACCCGGCUGGAAAGCCGGACCAAAGAGAGUAACAGUCUCGUAGGCGAAAUGUAGGAGAAGCGAGGGGUAUCCGGAGUACCACAGGACACGAGGAAUCCGGUGGGAAGGCGGGGGGACCACCCCCCAAGGCUAAAUACUACUUGGUGACCGAUAGCGCAGAGUACCGUGAGGGAAAGGUGAAAAGAACCCCGGGAGUGGAGUG
rnacentral:rRNA from 1 species